GCCUCCCACUGUCUCCUUGGCUUAUAAACUCUCUUUCUCGAAAGACUCCUCUUCUUGCUACAAAGACCACAUUGUCACUAGGUCUGUAGAAGAGGUAACCAAAGGAUCGCUGUGGGUAACCGAUGAAAAUACACCUCUCGCUUCGAGGUUCGAGCUUAUCAUGAGUCUCGCGUCUCACGAAAGCCUCGCAACCCCAAAUCUUGAUGUGGUCUAGUUUAGGUACUUUACCAGUCCACAUCUCGUGAGGAGUUUUGGCAACUUUCUUUGUAGGGACUAGAUUAAGAAUAUGGGCGGCAGUCUCUAAGGCAUACCCCCAGAAUGAGAUUGGUAGCGUAGCUCGACUCAUCAUGGAACGAACCAUAUCUAACAAGGUUCGAUUACGCCUCUCAGCCACACCAUUCAACUGUGGUGUCCUGGGAGGUGUCAAUUGUGAGACUAUCCCACAUUCCCUUAGAUAGUCGAGGAACUCUGAACUAAGAUACUCACCACCACGAUCGGAUCGAAGCAUCUUAAUGUUCCUGCCCAAUUGAUUCUCGACUUCCUGUUUAAAUUCCUUAAACCUCUCGAAAGUCUCUGACUUAUGCUUGAUCAAGUAGACAUAUCCAUAUCUACUAUAAUCAUCAGUAAAAGUCAAAUAAUAACGAUUAGCAUCCCUUGUGGCAUGUUUGAAUGGUCCACACACAUCCGUGUGUAUAAGGUCCAACAAACCUUCACCCCUCUCACACGAACCUGUGAAGGGUGACUUUGUCAUUUUUCCAAGUAAGCAUGAUUCGCAACUAUCAUCUGACUUUAGGUCAAACGACUCCAAGACUCCAUCCUUUUGGAGUUGGCCUAUGCGUUUCUUGCUUAUAUGUCCAAGACGACAAUGCCAUAAAGAUGCUUUAUCCAAGUUAUUAUUAGUAGAAUCAAUACACAAAACAUUAUUUCCCAAGUUAUCUACAACAGAUACAGCUUCAUACACACCAUCACAAGGUAAUGCUUUAAAAUAAAAGACAUUAUUAUAGAAAACAUCUAUAGAACCAACUUCAUUAUUAAAUGAAAAGGUAAACCCUUGUUUGUACAAAGCAUGAAAGGAAAUAAUAUUUCUUGCCAUUCCUGGCGAAUAACAACACUUAUUCAAAUCUAAACUAAACCCACUACUUAGCGAUAAAGUAUAAACUCCAAUCUUGGUAACAGGUAUAGCUUUCCUAUUCCCCAUGAUCAAGUUUAUCCUUCCUUGCUCCACAUCCUCACUUCUUCUUAGUCCCUGCAAGUCACAACAAAUGUGAAUACCACACCCGGUAUCAAGGACCCAAGAAUUAGAAUGGGGUGAGUUAUUAGAAAUGAUAGUGUAAAUACCUGCAUGGUUGGGUUUAACUUUCCCAUCCUUCACAUCUUGCUGGUAUUUUGGGCAGUUCCGCUUCCAAUGAGCUUUUUCAUGGCAAUAGAAGCAUUCAGCCUCUUUUGGGUCAGAAGAAGGAGUAACGAAACCUUUCUUGGUUCCACUUGAAGAAGAGCCAUCAAGGGUCCGAGCCUUGGUACCCUUAGAAGAGCUCUUUCUCUUCCUCCCUCGACUUUUCCCGAUUGCCAAAACCGGAGUAGAGUUUUGAGUAGGAGUGAUAGCAACCGACUUCCCCUUAAGACCUGUUUCUGCGGUCUUGAGAAGUCCCUGAAGUUUGCUGAGGGUGACUUCUUCCUUGUUCAUGUGAUAUGUCAUGCGGAAUUGAUCAUAGCACGAUGGUAAGGAAUGCAAAAUAAUAUCUAUUGCAAGAUCCUCCGGGAAGUUCACAUUAAGCUUCAGCAAACGAUCCACAUACCUUUGCAUUUUCUGCAUGUGGCUCGUGACGGAUUCCCCGUCCUUCAUCAUGGUUGUUAUCAUGGAGCAGAUGAUUUCAUACCUCUCUUGUCUUGCACUUUGAUGGUAUCUUUCCAUCAAAUCUUGGUGCAUGUCAUAAGGGUAGAAAUCCUCAUAAGACUUUUGGAGUUCCGCUGUCAUCGUGGCCAUCAUGAUGCAAGCCACUUUCGUAGCAUCCCUUUCAUGUGCCCGAAAUUCAGCGAUCUCCUGAGGAGUUGCAGUGGACUCAUCAAUCUCCUUAAGCUCCUUGUCAAGGACAUAUUCUUUGUCCUCGUAGCGGGUAAUCAUCCUGAUGUUUCUGAUCCACUCAUUGAAGUUGGAUCCAUCAAAGGUGACUUUCCCACACAAGUUCAUAAGGGUAAAGGAGCCAUUAGGAUUAGAGCCAGAAGCAUUGUUGAAAGACAUCUGAAGGAAAGAGGACAAGAUUAGUUUAGAUAUAAGAGAGUCCUUAAUAAAACACCCAAAUGUAAUAUUAAGGCUAGGAUCCAAUCACAAUAUAAUAUAACUUAGAAGAGGUAUGCCGUAAUCUAAGCUAUAUCAUAUUUGAAAGGUAGGUGAAUGACGAUUCACCAAUUUCCACCACGAAAACCGCAAUAUUUUAGUAUUAGGUUUUUGAAUGGUUCUUAGAAAUUCCUAGAUUCUUUGAGAUUCAAUGAACUUUUCAAAGGCAUGUUUCAAUCUCGAGUGUGCCCUCCAAGUUUUGUGACUGGGAUACCGAGGAUCACAAAACGAGGUGUGAAGUAACCAUGCAAAUCACUUGGUACCCUUAAAGUUUAUCACUCAAUCGAUGUGCCGGUUAACCACACACGCUCCAUCGAUACUAUAAUAAACCCUAAGUCACCCUUUACCUACCUUGUUAAGUCCAAGUUAGUGUGCCGGUUAACCACACACGCUCCACCAACGACUUAAUCAAAGUGUAAAGUGUAAUUUCAUGGAAUAGCACCUUAUUCACAUUUUUCCUAAAGUAACUAAGAUUGGGAAUUUAAUAAAACAUUUAGUUACUUUAUAAUAUUCAUCAUACUUUGAAUGAGAAUUAAUAAGUCCUUGUCUUACCCGUUCGGCUAACGACCCUCCACCGAUCAAGCAAGCGGUGGGUGAGAGUGGACACCCAUUAAGUCACCAUUUUAUAGGCAACAACCUUAUACCCACCUUAUAGACCGGCUUCGUGAAUGAGGCGUACUAGCGGUAAGACGACUUUGUUCUUAUACAUAUAUAUAUAAUUAUUAAAUCAUAAUAAUAUAAGUAUAAGGGUUGAAUUUUAACUUUUAAAAUUCUAGGGGUUGGAACUAAAGUUUUAACUUAACUUUACUUGUUCCAAAACUUGAGGGCAAGUUUUGUAAACUUUCAAAACUUUUCAUUUCUUGUAACUUAUGAGUUUAAUAGAGUAAUAAAAUGAGGACUUUUCAUUUUUCCUAACUCUUGUGUUCUUUUAAUGGUUUUUAAUCCAAGAGACUUUUGGUUUUCCAUAACUUGAGGACAAGUUAUGGACUCCAUUAAAACACAUUAUGAUCAUGAAUUAAUCUACCACAUAGGUUACAAAUAAUUCCUAUGAUCAUCUAAACAUCAUAAGAACAAGAAUAUGAAUAUGAACACUUUCAAGAAUCAAAAUCACAUUUAAUCUUUGUAAUUUUGAUAACUAGUUGUUGUAAAUGAGUUAGAAAAGACAUUACACCUUCUAAAAUAAGUUUUCAAGUACCAAAACAUUUUAGGGUAAUGAUUCUAAUCCAUUUCCAGCAACUCAAGUCGAAAUUCUGCACUCUGUCGACCCUACUCGCCGAGUGCAUAAACCUACUCGCCGAGUAGGUUGAAGAUACACAUGAACUCGACGAGUCCUCCCCAUGGACUCGCCGAGUCCAUCAGUCAGACAGCAGAAUUUUCGACUUUCUUCAACUUUUAAGCACAAAUAACAAACAAACAAGCCUAGGCUCUGAUACCACUGAUGGGUUUUGAGCAUUCUAACACUUCCUAAGUGUACAUGCAACCCUAAUAACCUUGGAUCUAUGUUUGUCUAAUUAUCAUGCAAAGUUGAAUUCCAAGGUUAUAUUCCUAUCUAGCAUACAUGGGGAACAAUUUUAACUUGAAUCAUAGAUAGAAUAACUUACCUUGUUGUUGCUUGUGUUCCUUGAAACCUUGUGAGCCUAGCACCCCAAGUGUGAUGCCUCAAAUGCUUCACACAACACCAAAUGCUCUUGGAAAGACUCUUGAGAUAACACACACUUCUCAAAAUCGGCCAAGCCCUCUAGUUUCUUAGUAGUGCCGAUUUUGGUGGAGAAUAUGCUUCUUAUAUAGUGUUGACACAUCUCGGGUUACACCAUGUAAACCCUAAUGUGUCAUGACUCUUCAUUUCCAUGACCCAUGGGUUUGUAACUCCCAUGGAGCAUCCAUGGAGCAUCCUAUGGGUAGAACCCAACUUGAUAAUCCAUGGAGCCUCUUAGCCCACUAUACAAGAUAUGGAUGAUUUACAUAAUCAACCCAUAUAUUUAAUUAGUUAUCCUUUGAUCACUUAAUUAAUUCCAAAUUAAUUCUUUGAUCAACUAAUCAAAUAAUAUUAUUAAUAUAUUAGAACUUAUAAUAUAUUAAUAAUCUCCAAGUGUUAUUUCUCUCAUUUAGUCUAUCCAAUUGCAUGGUGCCAUGCAACCCAAAUGGACCAUGCCGGGUCGGGUCAAGUACAAGCCCGUAAUAGUUAUGGACUUAGACACCUUAUCCAACACUCCUGACCUUCCGGUCCAUGUCCUCUUGACCUUCCGGUCCAUGUCAUCUUGACCUUCAGGUCCUUAUCAUACAUAACAUAUAUAACACAUACAUAUCACAUAUCAGCAUAGAGUACAUACAUCUCAUAGCAUAUAAGACCUUCCGGUCACACAUAGGUAACCUUCUAGGUACAAUACAGUGAGAAGACUGACCUCGGCUAUCUCGGACAAUCUCACACACGUAUACAUUAAUCCAGCCUCCGCCUAACCACAUAAACAAUUAUCUCAAAUCAAUAACGGCUCUCCAGGCUAGACUAGUCUCUUCCAUGUCUUUUAAGAAGGCUAAAAGACCAUUUUACCCUUCGAAUGGUCCACAAGUCCAAUUGUUGACCAAACCCUAAAAGUCAACAAAAGUUAGGUUCAUCCAGACCUACUAGUGUCUCAUCACUAAUAAGUGUCUCACCUUCCGCAGUAAUAUGGAAACCAUAAUAAUGCUAAGGUGCAUUCCUAACUCUCGUGGAAUGCCUCAGAGGUACAGGCUCAUCAACUGGCUCAACAGGAGUUUCCUCCUCAAGUUGAGGGCUAGUGUUUGAAGUUCCUUCAUCGCUUCAUUCUUGAAUUUCUUCAAGAUCAAUUUGCCUCCCACUGUUUCCUUGGCUUAUAAAUUCUCUCUCUCGAAAGACUCCUCUUCUUGCUACAAAGACCACAUUGUCACUAGGUCUGUAGAAGAGGUAACCAAAGGAUUGCUGUGGGUAGCCAAUGAAAAUACACCUCUCGCUUCGAGGUUCGAGCUUAUCAUGAGUCUCGCGUCUCACGAAAGCCUCACAACCCCAAAUCUUGAUGUGGUCUAGCUUAGGUACUUUGCCAGUCCACAUCUCGUGAGGAGUUUUGGCAACUUUCUUUGUAGGGACAAGAUUAAGAAUAUGGGCGGCAGUCUCUAAGGCAUACCCCCAGAAUGAGAUUGGUAGUGUAGCUCGACUCAUCAUGGAACGAACCAUAUCCAACAAGGUUCGAUUACGCCUCUCAGCCACACCAUUCAACUGUGGUGUCCUGGGAGGUGUCAAUUGUGAGACAAUCCCACAUUCCCUAAGAUAGUCGAGGAACUCUGAACUAAGAUACUCACCUCCUCGAUCGGAUCGAAGCAUCUUAAUGUUCCUGCCCAAUUGAUUCUCGACUUCCUGUUUAAAUUCCUUAAACCUCUCGAAAGUCUCUGACUUAUGCUUGAUCAAGUAGACAUAUCCAUAUCUACUAUAAUCAUCAGUAAAA
rnacentral:lncRNA from 1 species